rnacentral:rRNA from 1 species
GACGAACGCUGGCGGCGUGCUUAACACAUGCAAGUCGAACGGAAAGGCCCUGCUUUUGUGGGGUGCGCGAGUGGCGAACGGGUGAGUAACACGUGAGUAACCUGCCCUUGCCUUUGGGAUAACUUCAGGAAACUUGGGCUAAUACCGGAUAGGAGCUCCUGCUGCAUGGUGGGGGUUGGAAAGUUUCGGCGGUUGGGGAUGGACUCGCGGCUUAUCAGCUUGUUGGUGGGGUAGUGGCUUACCAAGGCUUUGACGGGUAGCCGGCCUGAGAGGGUGACCGGCCAAAUUGGGACUGAGAUGCGGCCCAGACUCCUACGGGAGGCAGCAGUGGGGAAUAUUGCACAAUGGGCGGAGGCCUGAUGCAGCAACGCAGCGUGCGGGAUGACGGCCUUCGGGUUGUAAACCGCUUUCGCCUGUGACGAAGCGUGAGUGACGGUAAUGGGUAAAGAAGCACCGGCUAACUACGUG